CGUCAAGUCCGCAUGGCCCUUACGCCUAGGGCUACACACGUGCUACAAUGGAUGUUACAAUGGGUAGCGAGACCGCGAGGUGGAGCCAAUCCCUCAAAAGCAUCCCCAGUUCGGAUUGGAGUCUGCAACUCGACUCCAUGAAGUUGGAAUUGCUAGUAAUCGCGGAUCAGCACGCCGCGGUGAAUACGUUCCCGGGCCUU
rnacentral:rRNA from 1 species